AUGAUGUAUAUUGUCUGACUCUCGCCAGUGCUUAGAAAGUAAAAAUGAAUAUUUAGAAAAGGUAUUUGUAUAAGCUCAAGUAAACGGCGGCUGUAACCUUGACGGUCUUAAGGUAGACGAAAUCCCUAGUCAAUUAAUUGUUGACGUGCAUGAAUGGAGUAACGACUGUUUUACUGUCUCGGGCUUUUGUACUGUGAAUUCAUAAUUGUCGUGAAGAUACGACAUUCCUAUAGUGGGACGGAGAGACCCUAUGCAGCUUUACUAUAAUUUUAAAGUGUUUGAAAUUCUUUAAGUAUGUAGGAUAGGUAUAAGCUUAUUAUUUUUUAACGCAAGUUAAUUGAUUAGGCAAUCUUGAAAUAGUACCUCUUUAAAAAUUUUUAAACUAAUUUUACAAAGACAUUUUAUGAUUGGUAGUUUCACUGGGGC
rnacentral:rRNA from 1 species